rnacentral:lncRNA from 1 species
UAAGAUAAAACACACUAUUGGGAGUUUGUAUAUUGAAAAUGAUAGGGUGAUGAUCUUAUUAGGUUUUUUUUUUUGGUAUAAUCUUCUUUUUAUUGUUUGCUAAUAAAAUUGAAGAGAUUGAUAUAAUAACAUGGAGAAAUGGACCUUCGCCUGGAAUUAAAAACAAAGUCUGGGUUUCAUGUUUCUGUGACACUCUGCACCAACAUCACCACAACAAGGAACGUGCGACUCACGUGCGCCAUUCUCUGUCUCUCUCCAGCUACGUGGUCUGCUUUCACUCCCCUCGCUCUUCGGACUUCGUGAGUUUCAUCGCUUUUUAAGUUUUAACUAUAGCUAUUUUUCUUUAAUCUCUUUCGUAUUGUUGCUCCUCACUAUUACCCACCCAUAUCCCCUGAAAAACAAAUCAUGAGUUUAGACUUUUAAUGAAACGUAAACAAUGGUUUAUUCGGGGGCUAGUAAUAUGUUAGCUUCAUGAUAGGGCGUGACAUUUAGUCAAAUUAAAUUACUAGUAACAUUAGACUAUUAUUGCCAUUGGAUAGGAGAAAACAAAAAUAUGCGCAAUCAAAACGGAUUUCAUAGCUGUAAGGAAUCGAAACUAACCUAGUUAUAUUAUCUAUGUAGUAGAGUUUGUGUCUUUCUCGGAAGGUACGGAUUUAAUGUACGUUUUCUUAGCUGACAGCACAUAUCUUAAAUCUCGUACGAAUAGAAUAGUAGUACUUGCUUCUUCAUAUGAUCAUCAUGUAAUUAAAAGACGAUUAUUAGAAGAAAAAAAACAUAUUAAAAGAGAAAACGAUACGGAUACGUGCACACACCUUAACACAUUCAAAAACCCA